UGGGUCGCCUCAGGCUUUUGUGUCAGAUCAGCCACUCCCUCUACAGAUAAUGCUGCUCCAGGCAAAGAGGCUUAGGUGGGUCUCCAGGGCAACCGCAGCUCAGGAGCUGGCCCGCCUCCAUGGUUCAUCAGGGAAGCUGUGGCUCCAGCCUCGCGGGAUACAUACACGCAUACACACACACACACACACACACACACACACACACACACACACACC
rnacentral:lncRNA from 10 species